rnacentral:rRNA from 1 species
ACAGAUUGACUUGUUACGGCUUGUUGUGCCGGUAUUCAACUCUACUGAUUCUGUUGUUAGGGAAGACCAAGUUUGGUACUAACUGUACAGGUCUUGACGGUACCUAACCAGAAGCCCGGGGCUAAACUCCGAGCGAGGCAGCCGGGGUAAUACGUAGGUGGCAAGCGUUAUCCGGAAAUUAUUGGGCGUAAAGGGCGCGUGGGGGGUUUUUUUAAUCUUGAAUGUGAAAGCCCCCGGCUCAACCGGGGGAGGGUCAUUGGGAAACUGGGAAAACUUGAGUGCCGAAGAGGAGGAGUGGAAUUCCAUGUGUAGCGGUGAAAUGCGCAGAAGAUAUGGAGGAAACCCCAGUGGCGAAAGGGGCUCUCCGGGCUGUAACUGACGCUGAGGUGCGAAAGCUUGGGGAUCCAACAGGAUUAGAUACCCUGGAAGUCCACGCCCGUAAACGAUAGUGCUAAAGUGUAAGGGGGUUCCGCCCCCUUAGGGCUGCGGCUAACGCAUUAAGCACUCCCCCCUGGGGGGGACGCCCGCAAGGUUGGAACCUCAAAAGGAA